CGCGAUCCAGGGUAAAAGGAACCCUAGGCCCACGAGCCAAUCUCGCGGCCGUCUCCCUCGCUUCCUCCGCAGCCUCGCAGCCGCCUCCCCCGCUCCCUCCGCACCGCAGCCGCCCUCCACAGCCCGCAGCCGCCUUCCCCGCUCCCUCUGCACCUAGCCCCCCGCUCCCCUCCUUCUCUACUCUGCUCUCCACUAUGCCGCCUCCUCCUCUCUCACUUUUCUCUCCGGCGGCGGUGCCAAAGAAGGCGCACACGGGCGGUGGAUCCGUGCCGGAGAAGAGCUGCGGGACUGCGCUUCGGUCGUGGUGGGGUGCAGCCGCGGGGAAGACGAACUUGGUCCGCCGCCCGUCUUCACCUUCUCGCCGCGACCUUGCUGCCUCCAUGGCCAAACACACGUAUUUUUUUUUUCUGUCCCUCCAUGGCGCUCGUUGCCGGCGGCAUCUCUCUUUUCCCCCUUACCCUCCCUUUUUAUCUACCUGCUGUUGCUCAUCCUCCAAUCUCUUAAAUUCAGACAGGCUGGACGCAACGCACACGGUCUAGGAAGGCCACGACAUGACUAGAUAUUUGCUUGCUUGGUUUAGUCGCUUGUAAUCAGUGUACAUGCAUGUGACUUGUCCAUGUUAGCUUUUGUUUUUGCAGAUUAUCGGUUAUUUUUUGUGUUCGAACUUUUUUUGUGUUCUUUUAUUAUCAAUUGUAGGUGCUGCUUCUAUCUUCUGGAAGUUAACAGCAUUUUUCCUUGUAAAAUCCUCACACCAGGCUGUCAUUGACAAGGAAAGGAGAGGAGACUACUUGAAGAAAACGUCCAGGUUGGGCCACAUAUCACAGAUGGAAUUCAGGAUUGGAUCGAAUGCGUGGCGAUAAAGCUGGUUGACGGUAAACAAGGGACUCCUGAUGUUUGUGUGAUAGUUUCGUUGGAACUAUAGGUAAACAAGAUAAUUUCAUGUGUAGCACAGCUUGCAAUGCAGCACACUUAAAGCAUACAUGUGGAAGUGUGCAGUUCCUUCGGAUGUUCCCAUAGCUAUGUAAGUCUGCCCAGUGCAGGGACAAAAUCUUUUCUCACCGCGCAUAAUGACAGUGGCACUCUUGAUGAGGGGAUAUUGAAUCAAUGCAUUUUAUUGAAGCAUUAGGUCAAUUUUCAUACCGUGUAGGACCUGGAAAUUUUUGCCUCGUCCAUGUCAGCCUUGUUCCAGUACUAAAUGUAGUUGGUGAGCAGGUAUGUUUUACUCAUUUGAACAAUGAGCUAAGAUAAUGAGAAGUUGCUGCAAUGCUUGCAGUUCUAUUGAGGUCCAUGUCAUGUGGUAUUACUAUAUGCUAAAUAGGCACUUUUUGCAAAGAAAUAUAAGUACGUUCUUGAAAAACCAUUUUUCUGAAUGAUAUGAACUAUGAAAGUGUAAUUGUACUUUGUAGUAGUUUCUGCUGAGAUGCAAUUUGGCUUAGGCAAAGUGGCAUUCGUUAUUAUAGUAAAAAUGGAAAGAGGUUACGAACAUAGAAAAUAUUGAAUUAUUGACGGAUCUCUCAAAACAGUCUCAGCUGGUUGUAGGUUGUUUGGUGAGGUUGCAGCUUGCAGGUUGCUGAGUUUCUCCUCUCUGCUUGUUGGUUUUCUUUGAUUAGUAGAACAAGUAGCACACCACGUGUUUGUGAAAAUGCUUCUCACAGAUGAAACUUUUUGUGUGCCUAGACCUGCCUUCUUUCUUAGGAGAAUAUGCUUGCUGAGACAUUAUGGUCUAAAUUUCAUAAAUAAGUUCGUGCAUUUCUUUUCCUGGGUUCAUUUAGGUAUCUAGAACGUGUGUUCCUUAUGUGUUUCUGUCAUUGUGUGAUGGUAUUUAUGUAUUUAACUUUUUGGAACUUUGUUUCAAGAUUUGCAUAGAGCGGACCACCUUGCAACAGUGUUGGGUUAUAUAACCCAUGGUUUCUUCAUGAUUCGACUUUAUUAUCAGAUCCAUGCAAGAGGUAACUAAUCUGUACCAUUUCUUUCUUUUCUAUCAUUGGUAUUUGCUUACAGGGAUAUGCAAGCAAGACCUAUUUUGGUUGGCAUAGUUAUGCUAGGAAGUGGAGUCGGAGAUUAUGCCUACGCCAUUAAUCAGUACACUAUGAAAUAAAUGAAACAUCAUGUGUUUUUCUAGCAGACCCAAAAUAGCAAACUUAGUGAAGAUCCUAAAAACAACAAUGGAAUGAUUUGCAAGGAAAUCUAACCAACCAAACAAACAUAACCAAACUUGCCUCAUUUUAUAGCGUUUAGAUAAUGUACAACAUUGUAUUGGUAUUGUACAACUAUUUAUUGGGUAGGUUAGCAUGAAAACAACAUAGUGCUGAUUUCGUUUACAUUACAAUUUAUUUGAUUCACAGAACCCGGGUAGCAUGAUUUUGGCAGGAGAAAGGAGGAUUAUCAUUUCUAGAGGUUGAUUUUUUUUUUCUUUUUAUGAAUGGCAAAUGCUAAAUUCUGUUACCAUGAAUUAGAAAUUAUAAUCCUCUAGCUAUCCAGUGUUAGAGGAUUAUCCUUUAGCAUUUCUACUGAAUAUCAAAUAUCAGUUAGGGCUUACCAUUCUACAUUUCUACUGAAUAUCAAAUAUCAAUUAGUACUUGUUGCAUAAAAUAAAUUAGUAUUUACCAUUCUACGUUCCUCCUGAAUAUUAGUAUCACAUGUUUAUACUAAUUUUCCAACCAGGGGAACUCCAGUUCCGAAAAGUUUAUACUCACCAGUGAGCUAUUCCCAGUAGAAAUUACUGGACAGGAGCAAAAUUCUUUUUCAAGAUCAUGUGAGUUGAGCUACAGCUUGGUUGGAGAUGUUGGUGCGGUUCAAGAGGCCCGCUGGGUUCACCCUUUUCAAGGUUCUAAACCAGGGCAAGCUCAACAAGGUCGAGGAUCUAUGGAAGGAGUUCACGACUCGGACUCGACGAGAAAGUUUUGUGCUUCAUUUUUUUUAUGGCAAAAUAACUUCUCUUUUUGAAACAAUUAGUACGUCAUAUAUCUAUCACAUUAUAAUAGAGUAAGUCAACAAAAUCCCUUUUAUUUGAAUGAACAAGAAUCCGUUGUGUGCUGCUGAGCUAUGUGCCCCUUUUCCAAAUGUUAGAAAGGUUAUCUUAGUUGUCACAUAGAAGUUGGUUUGGGCUUCUAGGCUCAUUUGAUGUUUGCAUGACUUAUUUGAACCCGAUGCCGGCCUCACCGGCAUCCUGAGGUGACACAGCGACGGCCAUGCUCGACACCCUCUUUCGCGACUUGACGACAGCCUAGCGUCAUAGGCAGCUCAUCGGUGGUCCAGCGGAUGGCGACCCAUUUGGGUGGGUGACGACGACCGCAGCUGGUGCACAAGCUCACACUCCACCAGUCCGUACUCAACUCUUCGUCUCGGGUGCGGACUGAGAGUUGGAUGCUCUGUGCCAGGAUAUGAAAGUUUUGUGACCAUUGUUGUGCCAGCUGUGAGGUAUAAUGCUAAUUGGGCUUGUGAAUUUAUUGUGUCUUGGAAUGGAUUGCCGAAUUGUUCGGGUUUUCUCAGUAUGUAGUUUCUUUUAUUUAUUUUUUAUUCUUAUAAUUCAGUGGUCCUUGAUUGCAACCUGGUGUCAUCCUGUUCCUACUCACAUGUUACAGUAGUGCACGAGCUGACAGGGAAGAAAUCUUGGUUUCAAAGUUCUCUCUGUCCGUGGCCAACUGAGUCGGGUCUACUUAACUUUGCUAUCUGACAGAUAUAGCUAUUUUAUUUUCACAUUCAAUUAGGCAAUCUUUUGAGGAGGUUAAAAUGAGUUAUAUUUUGGGCAUGCUUGAUGGCUAUUUUUAUGUUGUGUCAUGUUAGUAGUGUUCUUUAUUUGUUUAUGGGUCAGAUUGUUUGUUUGGUCUUAUGGUUUAGAUGUUUGUCCUCACAGUUUUGAUAUGUUUAUAUAGUACUUUUGGAAUGGGAUAUGAUUCUUUUUGGGUUUUUUAGUUUACGCAUUCGUUCUAAGAAUCUUGAUAUCUGGCUGUGUUGUUGUAGAUUUGUAAAAAAAAUUCUUGGGAUCCAUCUAUUCAACCAUGUUGGAGUAGGCUAUAUGAUCUUUUUAGUUCUGACCACAUAUGCUUCUUCCUUGGUCUGUUCACCAAGGUUUGCUCCCUUCCUUUCUCACUGUUGAUGCAUUAGCUUUGUUUCAUUAUACUCUUACGAUGCUCUGCAUCUGUGAUGAUCCACCACCAACUGAGGUAUAUAAAUAAGCUGUGUUUCCUACAUUUGUGCUGAUCCACACAACUUGCUGGUCUCCAAUUUAUUUCUUUUCUGACCAUCUGCAUUUGUGUAUGUAGUCAUGGACACCGACUUAAAAAAUGAACAAUGCUACCCCUUCAGCUGCAGGUGCAGGGUACUAUGUCUGGACUUGGCUUUUGAUUUCAAUUCGUCUUGCUUUUUUGUACUAAAUCUUUGAUUCGUGCUUUUUCUCUUUUCAAUAGUAAAUCAUCUUGCAAUACCCAUGGUGCCACACGUGUUUUAUUCACCAAUCCUGUCAAGAGAAAUUAAAAUCAAGACGCCGAUUAGCUUAGCCUUGGGCUGCUCCUUUUCUGCCUUCUGUUUCCUGUAUACACCCAUCUUUCUUUGAUGUACCUAAAUUUCUUUUUGUUGUGUUAGGUUGACAGUGACAGUAGAUGGAGCUUCUCUGACCGCUACUGAAGACACCGCUGAACAGCUUAACCAGACAAAGACAAAGUGCUAUUAUGUAGGCAUGGUUUAAAAACUAUAGCCUUUGGCUGGUCAAGUAGCCUUGCCAAAGCGUUUGUGUAAUCUCUACAAGUGGUAUGAAGCAAAUUCUAUGUAUAUAACACACACGAUGCAGAUAAUAAUUAUAUAGAAGCAGAGAAUCAACCUUGCUAGAGCGUUUGUCAAAUCUCUACUCAAGUAGCCUUGCCAAACUUUAUCUGUUGUGUUCUU